rnacentral:misc_RNA from 1 species
GGUUGACAGGAAACCUUGGACUGGGGAAACAGCUCGUAUUUGGAGAAACCGUGGAAAGUGUCCACUUACCCCCAAUGAAACUGCAUUCGUACUUGAAGCUUUAGCCAUACCCACCAAUACGACAAUUUAUUUGGCAGCUGGUGAUGGCCUGAUGGAACUUGAGGGACUUACAUCUGUGUAUACCCAUGUUGUUACUAAAUCUAGUCUUCUUAGCGGAGAGGACUUCACAACCAUGCAUGGGAAUACAAAAGCUGC